CUGCAUUUAAAAUUCAACACUACAUACAAACACACCACAGCAUUCACACGCAAACACUACACACAAGUACACCACCGCAUUCCAAUGGCAACAAUUACACCAUUACAUGCACACAUAUACUCCAUGCAAAAAACAUGCAUACAUUUAAACAUUAGUCACAAAUGAAACCCUGCAAGGAUAGACAAACGGUAGAUCUCCUGCUG